rnacentral:rRNA from 1 species
GAUGAACGCUGGCGGCGUGCCUAAUACAUGCAAGUCGAGCGAAUGGAUUAAGAGCUUGCUCUUAUGAAGUUAGCGGCGGACGGGUGAGUAACACGUGGGUAACCUGCCCAUAAGACUGGGAUAACUCCGGGAAACCGGGGCUAAUACCGGAUAACAUUUUGAACCGCAUGGUUCGAAAUUGAAAGGCGGCUUCGGCUGUCACUUAUGGAUGGACCCGCGUCGCAUUAGCUAGUUGGUGAGGUAACGGCUCACCAAGGCAACGAUGCGUAGCCGACCUGAGAGGGUGAUCGGCCACACUGGGACUGAGACACGGCCCAGACUCCUACGGGAGGCAGCAGUGGGGAAUAUUGCACAAUGGGCGCAAGCCUGAUGCAGCAACGCCGCGUGAGGGAUGACGGCCUUCGGGUUGUAAACCUCUGUUGUUAGGGAAGAACAAGUGCUAGUUGAAUAAGCUGGCACCUUGACGGUACCUAACCAGAAAGCCACGGCUAACUACGUGCCAGCAGCCGCCGUAA